rnacentral:rRNA from 1 species
AACGAACACUGGCGGCGUGGAUUAGGCAUGCAAGUCGAACGAGAAAGUUUCCUUCGGGAGACGAGUACAGUGGCGAACGGGUGAGUAACGCGUGGGAAAUCUGCCCUUUAAUGGGGGAUAACAGCUCUAACGAGCUGCUAAUACCGCAUAAGAUCCUUAGAUCGCAUGAUCCGGGGAUGAAAGAUGGCCUCUACAUGUAAGCUGUCGCUGAAGGAUGAUCCCGCGUCCCAUUAGCUAGUUGGUGGGGUAAAAGCCUACCAAGGCGACGAUGGGUAGCCGGCCUGAGAGGGUGUCCGGCCACACUGGGACUGAGAUACGGCCCAGACUCCUACGGGAGGCAGCAGUCGAGAAGCUUCCGCAAUGGGGGAAACCCUGACGGAGCGACGCCGCGUGAGUGAAGAAGGCCCUAUGGGUUGUAAAGCUCUGUCAGAUUGGGAAGAAAACUCUACGGGUAAUAUCCGUAGAGCUUGACGUACCAUCAGAGAAGCACCGCUAAC